GCCGACGCCUGGGCCCCGCGCGGGGAACUGCUGAGCUCCCCUUCCCUCACGCCGCGGGGCUGGCCGGGCCGGAACACUCCGACCCGGGGUUAGUUGCGGCCGCGGGGCUAGCAGGCUCGGAAAGCCCUGCCUCUCUGGAGCGGAAGCGGGAACAGCGGGGGCGCGCACCGCCCGGGCGGGGAUAACCGGGGGGACCCGAAAGGCCUCGGAAAGGGGCUCGCGGGGAGAAACGCGUCCAGCGCUCGCGUGACCUCCUGCCGUUAGAGCAUUUUCGCAAGGAGACGGAGCGAAAGGGACCAAACUUUAGUCAGCAGUUCACCUUCACGUUGUAUUCUCAAGAUUUGUAUAGAGUAGGCACUUGGUAAACGCUAAAUGAAUAUUGUAAUAGCAUUCGUUAGCGAUGCUGUUGUGUAUGGUGAAAGCCUGCAGCUGUACAAAGUUUUCCUUUGCCAGGCACUGAUCCCAGCAUUUUACAUCUGGUAACUAAAUCGAUCCUCUCAAUAACCUGUGACGUAAGUACUUAAGGGCCACAGUCCGUUAUCUGAGCCCUUUGACCCAGGUGUGUCUUUACAGGAUUUUUCAAAUUUUAGAAAGCUAAGAGACUAUGAGAGGCCGGGCGCAGUGGCUCACGCCUGUAAUCCCAGCACUUUGGGAUGCCGAGGCGGGCGGAUCACCUGAGGUCAGGCGUUGAAGACCAGCCUAGUCAACAUGGUGAAACCCCCGUCUCUACUAAAAAUCCAAAAAUUAGCCGGGCGUGGUGGCAUGCGCCUGUAAUCCCAGCUACUUGGGAGGCUGAGGCAGGAGAAUAACUUGAACCUGGGAGGCAGCGUUUGCAGUGAGCCAAGGUCGCGCCACUGCACUCCAGCCUGGGCGACAAGAGCGAAACUCCGUCUCAAAAAAAAAAGAAAGAAAGCUAAGAGGCUAUGAGAAUAAAAAGGUUCUAUUCAAAUUCAAGAAAGAUAGUGGAAGACAGACAAUUGUUUGUCCCCUUAUCCAGAUUGUGAAAUCCAGAUUGCCGGAAACCAGUCACAAUCAACAGCUGUACAUUGGUAAAAACCUAUGUAAAAUUAGUUGUUUGCCUUGUUCUUGGAGACUGUUCUGCCAGAAGGUUCUCCUUUGCUAGGCAAGUAAUAAAAUCAAUCUAAAAAAAAAAGGCGGGGGCCGGGCGCAGUGGCUCACGCCUGUAGUCCCAGCACUCGGCACUUCGGGGGGGGGGCGGAGGUGGGCGGAUCACGAGGUCAGGAGAUCGAGACCAUCCUGGCUAACACAGUGAAACCCCGCCUCUACUAAAAAUACAAAAAAUUAGCCUGGCGUGGUAGCACACGCCUGUAGUCCCAGCUACUGGGGAGGCUGAGGUAGGAGAAUGGUGUGAACCCGGGAGGCGGAGCUUGCA
rnacentral:lncRNA from 1 species